UCACUUUGUUUGUAAUAUAUAUAUACCAUAACUAUACCGAUUAUGACUAGCGUGUUCCUUUGUGGGGGUAUAAUGGCUUAACUAUACUUAUUAUAGUUUAUCAUAAUUAUCCAUAGUGGUAAUAACUCUUUUGUAUGCGUAAAGCCUUUAAUAAUGUGUUUGUUAUGUAAAUAACCCUAAACUAUACCUAUUAUAGUUUAUCAAUUAUUUGUGUGGGUAGUGAGCAUAAGCCUUACUUGUCAUAAUUUACCAAUGUUUAUAUUUUAAUGGAUAUAGCCUUGUAAUAUCAUUUAUAUAUUUACCAUACUUGUGGAGGUAUAAAUCCAUUUGUUUUCUGAUGUAUGUCUAUAUAAGAAUACAAAAUUGUCAUAUAUUGCAACAACACAUAAUCACAUAAUGAUGUAUACCUUGCUCAACAUGUUACAAGGUGAAAUGAAAUUUAUAGUGUUUUUCUGUUAAUAACAUUUUCUGUAACUGUUAUUGGAAAAAUUGUAGAAAAAUCAUAAAAUGUCCAAAUCAAGUUCUGUAACUUCUGAGAGUUUGGAAAAUGAGUCUAGUUUGUUCAUAAUUUUUAUUAUAAUUUUUAAUGACUUCUUACUUGUGUGAAAAAGUCCAUAAUCACAGACUGGUCCGGAUUGAUGUUUGAAAUGAUAGGCAGUUUUGUAAAAAUCACCAUAAAUUGUAGAAAAAUCGUAUGGAGAUGUGCAAGUAGUCAUUUUAAAGCUAAGAAGUGGAACUACAUGCACCUAAAACAGUUUUGAAAACUAAAAUGUUUAAGUUGUCCAAAACAGUCCGUGAAUGGAGUUGAACUUUUCUGAUGAAGGCUGUUAGAAAAGUGUAGUUAUGUUCUUGGUGUUUUAACUUGUAUUCCCCCCCUAAAAACUUGAGAAAACAUGAAAAUGUAGGGGUAUGAACUCACCUUAAGUGAUUUCAGUAGGUAAGUGUUGAAGAAGAGAAGUGUUCAACCCAAGAACACUUGAAGAAUCACUUGAAGAUUCGAAGAUCUAACACAAUUAUGAGAGAGUUUGUGUAAGAUAUCCAUGAUUCGAGUGGAAAUAAUUGAGAUAAUCAUAAAGAGAAUGGAUUAUUCUUACCAAAUGUGGAGGAAAAUCCCAAGAUCAGCCCUCAAAUCUCGAGUUCUAGAGAGGGAAAAUGAGAGAGAAAAGAGUUUGCUCUUUUUGGUGAAAAGAGAGAAAAUGAGAGAAAUGAGGAGAGAGGAUGAAUAUUCAGCUCUCAAAAACGUGGGAAGGAGUGAUGAUUGAGUGGAAAGGACAUUGAUGUGACCUAGGUAAGGUGGGGAGGUGUGGCUGGUCAUAGAGUGGGUGUGGGAGUGGUUGCUUGUGUCAUAAAGUAAAGCAAAGUCAACACUCCACCUCUUUGUACUUUACCCACUUGCUUUUAUUAUUUAAAUAAAGAUUUUUAUGAAAAUAUGAUUAAAUUGUGAAUAUUUAGGGUUUAUUAUGUUAAAAUAUGAUUUUGGGUGAAAACCCCGCGUUAAAAUAAUUAAAAACGGGCCUUAAACGCAAAACUACGCGAAAACCGGGAGAAAAUGAGUUCCCAGCGAGACCUCUCGGUCCUAGGCCGAGGUUCGGUCCCUAGGCCGAGGCUCGGUCCAUGCUGAGGAUUGUAGCCGGAAGCGAACAGAGGGAACCGAAGGGGCGAGGGGUCCGGUCCGAAGGCUCGGUCCGAAGGGUCAGCAGGGAAGCUUCGGUUCGGAGUUAAGAAGCGAGAAUGGCAGAACCGAACGAACUGUAGUGAACAGUAAUGAACAGUACCUUCGGUUCGGUUAGUGAACAGUACCUUCGGUUCGGAUCAGCAGCCUUCUUCAUUCGGAGGGUUCGGUUCCUAAGAGGGGUUUCGGUUCCUAAGAGGGGUUUCGGUUCCUAAGAGGGGUUUCGGUUCCUUAGGUCCGUUUUUCGCGUAGACUUCCGUUUUUGGGCUGUUUUCGCCAAAUUCGAGGGUCGGGAUGCCCCGAGUGAUUAUAGAAAGUUGGGAGAGAUUUCGAGAGAGAUUUGAGAGAGAUUCCACAUACUCAGAGAGAUUUGGGAGAGAUUUGACAUACUUGGGGAGAUUUCACAUACAAAGAGAUAUUUGGGAGAGAUUUCACAUUCUUAGAGAGAUUUGGGAGAGAUUUGACAUUCUUGGAGAGAUUUCUCAUACAAAGAGAGAUUUGGGAGAGAUUUCACAUACUUAGAGAGAUUUGAGAGAGAUUUGACAUUCUUGGAGAGAUUUCUCAUACAAAGAGAGAUUUGGGAGAGAUUUCACAUACUUAGAGAGAUUUGGGAGAGAUUUGACAUUCUUGGAGAGAUUUCUCAUACAAAGAGAGAUUUGGGAGAGAUUUCACAUACUUAGAGAGAUUUGGGAGAGAUUUGACAUUCUUGGAGAGAUUUCUCAUACAAAGAGAGAUUUGGGAGAGAUUUCACAUACUUAGAGAGAUUUGGGAGAGAUUUGACAUUCUUGGAGAGAUUUCUCAUACAAAGAGAGAUUUGGGAGAGAUUUCACAUACUUAGAGAGAUUUGGGAGAGAUUUGACAUUCUUGGAGAGAUUUCUCAUACAAAGAGAGAUUUGGGAGAGAUUUCACAUACUUAGAGAGAUUUGGGAGAGAUUUGACAUUCUUGGAGAGAUUUCUCAUACAAAGAGAGAUUUGGGAGAGAUUUCACAUACUUAGAGAGAUUUGGGAGAGAUUUGACAUUCUUGGAGAGAUUUCUCAUACAAAGAGAGAUUUGGGAGAGAUUUCACAUACUUAGAGAGAUUUGGGAGAGAUUUGACAUUCUUGGAGAGAUUUCUCAUACAAAGAGAGAUUUGGGAGAGAUUUCACAUACUUAGAGAGAUUUGGGAGAGAUUUCUGAUAAGAAGAGAUGGAGUGAACACGAUUGAGAGAGGUUUCAUUGGUGACCUUUUUGAGUGUCCGGCUUCGCAAUGCAAGGUCCGUAAACCCCGUUAAGCCUUGUUUAAGGAUCUUGCAUACUCCCGAUGAGUAUGUAACAUUGUUUUAUCGGUUUGGCUCUCCACGUACCACCGUUUUAGGUUAAGGAGAUCUAGAUGUACGCACUUUUCGAUUUAUGAUCUCUCAUUAGAAUAGAGAGUUGUUUAGAAAUUACAUAACGUAAACUCUAAUACUCACGGCAAAUUGAGUUGACCGGUUUGACUUGUUGACUUUAGUUGACUUUGACUUGACCGAAAAUUGACGGUUGUCACAUCAUCCCCCCGUUAGAGGGAAUUUCGUCCCGAAAUUUGAAAUCAGGCAAGGAGUUUGUGAAUGACUAAGGUCGGCUCUACAUUAUUUUGAUUCUGACUAAGAGAUGAGUUAUUAUACAUGAAAACUUAGCUUAUACACAUUAUGAUAUAACCAAUACUGGGCGGAUAGUAAAAUGUGUGAUUCUACUUCAGUUUCACAUCCCAACGAGGAAAAGAAACUAAGUCAGAAUUCUCACAUUCUAUUAUCUACCAGGUAUUCGUUAUAUAUAACUGGGGAAUGUAUAAGUGAGGAAAUCAUAACAAAUAACAUUCUUAGUAAUCCUUCUUAAUGAAUUAGAGUUCCUAGUCAGGGCUAUCAUUGAACCUAGAUGUAUUUCAACCGUUCACCUAUAGAGUAGAAGUAUGUUCUCGAAGGUUUGACCUACAUCCCUAUGAUGCAGUCCCAUUACGGAGUCGAAGUAAAUUCAUAGAAUGGUCUCAUGACGGCCUUGGAAUUUCUUAUUGUUUAUGCUCUCAGUUUAAUCCUUGGCAUUACUACUAUGCAUGCUUUAAUCGAUGCUAGACUUAAUCAAAUAAAGAAAUUUGGAAUUUAGUCGUCGAUGUUAGAAACACAUACUGAUGUUUGCAGGCAGUUCCGGGGUGGUCUCUCCUUCGGUGAUCGCAAGCACCCUUCCACCACCACUGGCAUCUCUUGCACUUGGGCAGUUCCUUUUAAAGUGUCCUGUUUCUCCACACUUGUAACAGGCUGGGCUUACUCCAAAGCCGGGGAACUGGUUGAUGGGUCGUGCCGGUGCCCUACAGAAACGGGUAGUGUGCCCUUUCCUAUUGCAGUUCAUGCAAUGCAAUUCUCUACAAGCCCCAGUGUGAUGGAAGCUACACUUGUUACAUUUCGGAAGGGUUCCAGCGUAUUGUUUCAUGGGAGUUGGCGUGGUGAGGGUUGUGGCAGCAUGAACAACAAAAAUUGGCGUGGUUGUCGUAGUGUCAUGGCUGGCACGAUGGUCGAUGAGUUGUUGUGCCAACUCCUUGGCGCUGUCGAAGGUAGUUGGUCUGGAGGCCAAUACACUAUCAUGAAUCUGGGAUGAUAGCCCCCAAAGGUAUCGUUCUACCUUUUUCUCCUCUGGGGUGACCAUUGCAGGACAGAGGAGUGCUAGGUCAUUGAAUCGGGCGGUAUAAGCUUCGAGAUCCGUCCCCGACAUUUUGAGGUUCCAGAGUUCCUCUUCCAGUUUUUGCACUUCGCCUCUUGGGCAAUAUUCUUUCAGCAUUAAAGCUUUUAGAUCCUCCCAGCUUAUAGAGUUAGCCACUGCAGGAGUAAGCGACUUAACUCUGCCGUUCCACCAAGUAAGAGCUUUUCUUGUGAAGGUGAAUGCCGCAUACUUGACCUUGCUUGCUUCGGGACAAGCACAAAUUUCGAAGACUGCUUCGGUCCUUUCGAACCAUUGCAUCAGCGCGAUGACGCCCCCGCUUCCGUCGAAAGGAUCGGGUUUGCCAUUCGUGAAGUCUUUGUAAGAACACUCCUUAGUACGCCCUGUGCUGUCCCCCUGAUUCGAGUUAGUAUUCCCGGAUCCGAAGCCGCCGGAUCCAUUUGUACCCAUUUGCGACAUUGCUGCCGCCACUGCUGCUGUUACGGCAGCUUGAAACAUUAUGGGAUCAAACUGCGGAGGGGGCGGUGCUGUGCUUCCGGAGGGUCUGGACUUUUUCUUUGGCGGCAUAGUCCUGUCAUAAGUUGGUAGAGACGAACAAACGAUAAGUUUUUAAUAGUAGUGACAAGUCAGAUGUUAUCAAGCCAGACUUGUCUGUAUUAUGUUCUGACUUAAAAGUAUUUUGUAUGUAAUUCAUAACAAAGCCCCUAUGAAUGAAUUUUAGUGGUAGUGACUCAAAUGCAACUUGUGAUUUGUUUCGUGCCUGAUCCCCUCCUAAAAUCACUUGGUAUAUAUUAAGAAUUUCUUGGAGUUACCAUAUGUAAAUUGUUUGUAAUAUAGGGUUCGAGGAAAAUAGGUCUACAUCUCAUUAACGUAAGGAAAAUUUUGGGCAAUGCUACGGUUCCCUUGAAUAGUGUAGUCUCCGGAUUCUGAAGGAUUCGAAUGUCUCCAUUUAACAGCCUAGGUUGGUCGUGUUCUUCGCUCCAGGUUUCCAAGCACUCUACCCAAGGAGGCGUUGGGCCUUGAAAAACCGGACGAGGGAUAGGAUUCGGAACAAGAGCCAUCAGGGUAGGUUCUCCACUUCAGGGUCGGAGUCAGAACCAUCAGCAAAGCCUUCAGCUUGGUGACCAUCCAAAGGGAUUCGGUAAUCAUUCUCUGGCUCCUCUCCGAGCCAUUCAGUAUUGCCGUGGUUAGGGUAGUACGGGUCGUCGUGGGGAUGGAAUUCAGCCAUGAUAUCUUCGCGAGAAAUGGGGAUAUAAGAAAUAACUAAGUAGACGUACUCAUUAGAUAAUUAUAAGAUGAUCUUUAUCAGGUUCUUCAAUAUAUUGUUUAGUGCAUACUAGUCAUAUGUAAUUGGGACAGGAUAGACCUUCGAAUAAGCGAUCCUAACUCUAAAUCCCCAAUCCAACGAGAACAGGAAGUAAAGCAAAGAUCCACGGAUUCUAAGUCUAUGACGUCCUAGAUAUAUAUAAUUUUAAUGUAUCCACUAGGCAAUUAUUGACCUAUUGAUAAAAAUCUAUUUAGUUCUCAAAUAAGUAAUUAUAAUAACACCAAAUACCCCUAUGGUAUUUCAUUGUGGUAGUGUUGGUAAGUUUUUAGACUUGUUGCAACACCUACGCCCAUUCCUGGGCAUAUGCUAAUCACUUCUGGGUGAGACAUAGUUGAUCAGGCUAUGUCAUUCCCAGACCUGACUAUACAUCCCCAAGCCUACUCGUAUUGUUCAACAAUCACCACUUUUGUCCCAUCCCACCAUGAUACUGACCCUAGUGUAUGUGCACAUGCUCCUACUUUUACCGAGAAAUUAUUUUUUUUUAUUUUUUUAUUUUAUUUAAUUUUAUUUUAUUUUAUUUUAUUUUAUUUUAUUUUUUUCCUAAAAGUAUAGUUGCUUUGAAAACUUUAAAUCAGAGACUUUCAGUCCCAAUGUAUUUAUAGUUUGUAUAUCUUAUGUGGUUCGAUAUACUGAGUUCACUAUAAACAAUGCUCUGAUACCAAUCUGUCACACCCCCAAACCAAGGAUGGCGGAAACGUCCGGGGGUGGAGGACUUCAUGUACAGUAUCACAACAACGUGUAUAAUAGUGCUCAAAGUAAAUACAACCAUCAUAAAUAUAAUUGAAAAAGUUACACCAAAGUAUAUGUUUACAUGUUUCAAAAUCAAUUACAUUAUGAUGACAAAAAUAAAUUGUUGACGGUUUAACGUCCCAUCCUCAAAGCGCUGAAGUUUUCCUGUUUCACUGAUUUCCUGAGAAUACAAGUAGUUUUGAAAGAGUGUCAACAAUUAAGUUGGUGAGUUCAUAAGAGUUUUGUUUGGAGUAGAAACCGUUUUCCUUAUAAAAUCGAUAGAGUUGAUUUCCAGAAAAUCCAAUAUUUUCUUAGUUAAGUGUAAACAGAAUAUUCCUAUAUGAUGUAUUAAUGAACCCUAGAUUGACCCGUAGAUUUCCCCUAUAAUCGUCCAGCGUAUAUAAGUUAUAUAAGAUUUAAGUUAGAUAAAACGUUGAAUAUAGUGGGUCUGCCCUAGGUCCACAACCCAACGAGGAACAGGAGAUGAGGCGGGCACCACCAAUUCUAAGCCAAUCCAGACUAAAUUCUUGUAUGACUCAAGCAUAUACGCUCAACGAUUAUAGUUGAAGUCUAACAAUGCGAAAAUUUAAUGUGGACUUAAAUCCAAAAACCGGAACCAAACCCUAGUGUAGUGUAUGAAAUAGUAAUAGUGACUGUGAACAUAAACUAUACAUAUCAUAGUUCAUCGGAUAGUGAUAGUGACUAGUGAACAUGAACUAUGCAUAUUAUAGUUUACCAAAAGUGGUGGUGAUGGUGAAUAUAACCUAUACAUAUCAUAGUUCAUCAAAUAGUGAUAGUGACUAGUGAACAUGAACUAUGCAUAUUAUAGUUUACCAAAAGUGGUGGUGAUGGUGAAUUCCUUUCUUGUAAUUAAGUUCAUAGGGUAGAUGAAACAUAAACUAUACCUAUUAUAGUUUAUCACUUUGUUUGUAAUAUAUAUAUGCCAUAACUAUACCGAUUAUAACUAGCGUGUUCGUUUGUGGGGGUAUAAUGGCUUAACUAUACUUAUUAUAGUUUAUCAUAAUUAUCCAUAGUGGUAAUAACUCUUUUGUAUGUGUAAAACCUUUAAUCAUGUGUUUGUUAUGUAAAAUAACCCUAAACUAUACCUAUUAUAGUUUAUUAAUUAUUUGUGUGGGUAGUGAGCAUAAGCCUUACUUGUCAUAAUUUACCAAUGUUUAUAUUUUAAUGGAUAUAGCCUUGUAAUAUCAUUUAUAUAUUUACCAUACUUGUGGAGGUAUAAAUCCAUUUGUUUUCUGAUGUAUGUCUAUAUAAGAAUACAAAAUUGUCAUAUAUUGCAACAACACAUAAUCACAUAAUGAUGUAUACCUUGCUCAACAUGUUACAAGGUGAAAUGAAAUUUAUAGUGUUUUUCUGUUAAUAACAUUUUCUGUAACUGUUAUUGGAAAAUUUGUAGAAAAAUCAUAAAAUGUCCAAAUCAAGUUCUGUAACUUCUGAGAGUUUGGAAAAUGAGUCUAGUUUGUUCAUAAUUUUUAUUAUAAUUUUUAAUGACCUCUAACUUGGGUGAAAAAGUCCAUAAUCACAGACUGGUCCGGAUUGAUGUUUGAAAUGAUAGGCAGUUUUGUAAAAAUCACCAUAAAUUGUAGAAAAAUCGUAUGGAGAUGUGCAAGUAGUCAUUUUAAAGCUAAGAAGUGGAACUACAUGCACCUAAAACAGUUUUGAAAACUAAAAUGUUUAAGUUGUCCAAAACAGUCCGUGAAUGAAGUUGAACUUUUCUGAUGAAGGCUGUUAGAAAAGUUUAGUUAUGUUCUUGGUGUUUUAACUUGUAUUCCCCCCCUAAAAACUUGAGAAAACAUGAAAAUGUAGGGGUAUGAACUCACCUUGAGUGAUUUCAGUAGAUAAGUGUUGAAGAAGAGAAGUGUUCAACCCAAGAACACUUGAAGAAUCCCUUGAAGAUUCGAAGCUCUAACACAAAUAUAAUGGAGUUUGUGUAAGAUAUCCAUGAUUUGAGUGGAAAUAAUUGAGAUAAUCAUAAAGAGAAUGGAUUAUGCUUACCAAAUGUGGAGGAAAAACUCAAGAUCAGCCCUGGAAAUCUCGAAUUUCUAGAGAGAGAAAGUGAGAGAGAAAAGAGUUUGAUCUUCUUGUGAAAUGAGAGCAAAUGAGAGAAAUGAGGAGAGAGGAUGAAUAUUCAGCUCUCAAAAACGUGGGAAGGAGUGAUGAUUGAGUGGAAAGGACAUUGAUGUGACCUAGGUAAGGUGGGGAGGUGUGACUGGUCAUAGAG
rnacentral:lncRNA from 1 species